GAUGAACGCUAGCUACAGGCUUAACACAUGCAAGUCGAGGGACCGGCGCACGGGUGAGUAACCCGUAUCCAACCUGCCCUUUACUCGGGGAUAACCUUUCGAAAUAAAGAUUAAUACCCGAUAUAAAGGAUGGGGAUGCGUUUCAUUAGUUUGUUGGUGAGGUAACGGCUCACCAAGCCUUCGAUGGAUAGGGGUUCUGAGAGGAAGGUCCCCCAGAAUUGAACUGAGACACGGUCCAAACUGCUACGGGAGGGAGCAGUGAGUGAUAUUGGGCAAUGGGCGCUAGCCUGGACCAGCCAAGUAGCGUGAAGGAUGAAGGCUUAUGGGUCGUAAACUUGUUUUAUAUAAGAAUAUGUAUUAUAUGAAUAAGGAUCGGCUAACUCCGUGCCAGCAGCCGCGGUAAUAC
rnacentral:rRNA from 1 species